AACGUAGGACACAAGCGUUAUCCGGAGUUACUGGGCGUAAAGGGCGUGUAGGCGGACGUGUAAGUCUAUUCUGAAAGCUCCUGGCUAAACUGGGAGAGGCGAAUGGAGACUGCAUAUCUAGAGUGAGGAAGAGGAAAGUGGAAUUCCGCGUGUAGUGGUGAAAUGCGUAGAGAUGCGGAGGAACACCAGUGGCGAAGGCGGGUUGCUGGGCUAACACUGACGCUGAGGCGCGAAAGCUAGGGGAGCGAACGGG
rnacentral:rRNA from 1 species